rnacentral:rRNA from 1 species
GACGAACGCUGGCGGCGUGCUUAACACAUGCAAGUCGAACGGUGAAGCGCCUUCCUUUUUGGUGGGUGUGGAUGAGUGGCGAACGGGUGAGUAACACGUGAGUAACCUGCCCCCUUCUUCUGGAUAACCGCAUGAAAGUGUGGCUAAUACGGGAUAUUCUGGGUCUGUCGCAUGAUGGGUCUGGGAAAGAUAUUGUUUCGGUGGGGGAUGGGCUCGCGGCCUAUCAGCUUGUUGGUGGGGUGAUGGCCUACCAAGGCGGUGACGGGUAGCCGGCCUGAGAGGGUGGACGGUCACACUGGGACUGAGACACGGCCCAGACUCCUACGGGAGGCAGCAGUGGGGAAUAUUGCACAGUGGGCGCAAGCCUGAUGCAGCGACGCCGCGUGAGGGAUGGAGGCCUUCGGGUUGUGAACCUCUUUCGCCAGUGAAGCAGGCCUGCCUCGUUUGUGGGUGGGUUGACGGUAGCUGGAUAAGAAGCGCCGGCUAACUACGUG